rnacentral:rRNA from 1 species
GAUGAACGCUGGCGGCGUGCCUAAUACAUGCCAGUCGAGCGAACAGACGAGGAGCUUGCUCCUCUGACGUUAGCGGCGGACGGGUGAGUAACACGUGGAUAACCUACCUAUAAGACUGGGAUAACUUCGGGAAACCGGAGCUAAUACCGGAUAAUAUAUUGAACCGCAUGGUUCAAUAGUGAAAGACGGUUUUGCUGUCACUUAUAGAUGGAUCCGCGCCGCAUUAGCUAGUUGGUAAGGCAACGGCUUACCAAGGCAACGAUGCGUAGCCGACCUGAGAGGGUGAUCGGCCACACUGGAACUGAGACACGGUCCAGACUCCUACGGGAGGCAGCAGUAGGGAAUCUUCCGCAAUGGGCGAAAGCCUGACGGAGCAACGCCGCGUGAGUGAUGAAGGUCUUCGGAUCGUAAAACUCUGUUAUUAGGGAAGAACAAAUGUGCAAGUAACUAUGCACGUCUUGACGGUACCUAAUCAGAAAGCCACGGCUAACUACGUG